rnacentral:rRNA from 1 species
UACGUAGGGGGCAAGCGUUGUCCGGAAUCAUUGGGCGUAAAGCGCGCGUAGGCGGCCCGGUAAGUCCGUUGUGAAAGUCAAAGGCUCAACCUUUGAAUGCCGAUGGAUACUGCCGGGCUCGAGUCCGGAAGAGGCGAGUGGAAUUCCUGGUGUAGCGGUGGAAUGCGCAGAUAUCAGGAGGAACACCAAUAGCGAAGGCAGCUCGCUGGGACGGUACUGACGCUAAGGCGCGAAAGCGUGGGAGCGAACAGG